CAAAACAUAGCUUAGACUAAAGCCUUUUGCUUACACCAAAAAGAUGUCUAUUAACCCAGACUGUUUUGAAA
rnacentral:tRNA from 1 species